rnacentral:rRNA from 1 species
GACGAACGCUGGCGGCGUGCUUAACACAUGCAAGUCGAACGGAAAGGCCCUGCUUUUGUGGGUUGCUCGAGUGGCGAACGGGUGAGUAACACGUGAGUAACCUGCCCUUUACUUUGGGAUAACUUCAGGAAACUGGGGCUAAUACCGGAUAGGAGCUCCUGCUGCAUGGUGGGGGUUGGAAAGUUUCGGCGGUUGGGGAUGGUCUCGCGGCUUAUCAGCUUGUUGGUGGGGUAGUGGCUUACCAAGGCUUUGACGGGUAGCCGGCCUGAGAGGGUGACCGGCCACAUUGGUACUGCGAUACGGCCCAGAGUCCUACGGGAGGCAGCAGUGGGGAAUAUUGCACAAUGGGCGGAAGCCUGAUGAAGCAACGCCGCGUGCGGGAUGACGGCCUUCGGGUUGUAAACCGCUUUCGCCUGUGACGAAGCGUGAGUGACGGUAAUGGGUAAAGAAGCACCGGCUAACUACGUG